rnacentral:rRNA from 1 species
GCGAACGCUGGCGGCGUGCUUAACACAUGCAAGUCGAACGAAGUAGCAAUACUUAGUGGCGGACGGGUGCGUAACACGUGACUAACUUGCCUUAGACUGUGGAAUAACGGAGGGAAACUUCCGCUAAUACCGCAUGUUGAGCGCGGAUCGCAUGAUCUGCGCUUGAAAGAUUUAUUGGUCUAAGAUAGGGUCGCGGCCUAUUAGCUUGUUGGUGGGGUAAUGGCCUACCAAGGCGACGAUGGGUAGCUGGUCUGAGAGGAUGAUCAGCCACACUGGGACUGAGAUACGGCCCAGACUCCUACGGGAGGCAGCAGUGAGGAAUAUUGCGCAAUGGACGAAAGUCUGACGCAGCAACGCCGCGUGAAGGAUGAAGGUGCUUUGCAUUGUAAACUUCUGUAGGGAGGGAAGAACAGCCUGUUAUUGACGGGUCUGACGGUACCUCCAAAGUAAGCACCGGCUAAUUCCGU